UGUUCUCCAUAAGAGGUCUAUGUUGAGUAGAUUUUUGGUGUUGGGAGGUGGAACUGGAGCUUGCUCCAUCCCCUCCAUGCAUCGGCCUGGUAUUACAGUGGUUCCAGGAGCGGUGC
rnacentral:snRNA from 1 species